rnacentral:rRNA from 1 species
UUAGAGUUUGUUCCUGGCUCAGGACGAACGCUGGCGGCAUGCCUAAUACAUGCAAGUCGAACGCUGAAGCACUCUGCUUGCAGAGUGCGGAUGAGUGGCGAACGGGUGAGUAACACGUGGGAAAUCUGCCUAGGAGUGGGGGAUAACAUUCGGAAACGGAUGCUAAUACCGCAUAUCUUUUUGACCNGCAUGGUUCUUAAACGAAAGACGGCUUCGGCUGUCGCUCUUAGAUGAUCCCGCGGCGUAUUAGUUAGUUGGUGGGGUAAAGGCCUACCAAGACCAUGAUACGUAGCCGACCUGAGAGGGUGAUCGGCCACACUGGGACUGAGACACGGCCCAGACUCCUACGGGAGGCAGCAGUAGGGAAUCUUCCACAAUGGGUGAAAACCUGAUGGAGCAAUGCCGCGUGAAUGAAGAAGGUCUUCGGAUCGUAAAGUUCUGUUAUUAGAGAAGAACAAGUCAAGGAGUAACUGUCUUGACUUUGACGGUACCUAACCAGAAAGUCACGGCUAACUACGUGCCAGCAGCCGCGGUAAUACGUAGGUGACAAGCGUUGUCCGGAAUUAUUGGGCGUAAAGGGAGCGCAGGCGGUUGGAAUAGUCUGAUGUGAAAGGCAGGGGCUCAACCCCUGGACUGCAUUGGAAACUGGCAGGCUUGAGUGCCGGAGGGGUAAGCGGAAUUCCUAGUGUAGCGGUGAAAUGCGUAGAUAUUUGGAGGAACACCAGUGGCGAAGGCGACUUACUGGUCUGUAAUUGACGCUGAGGCUCGAAAGCGUGGGUAGCAAACAGGAUUAGAUACCCUGGUAGUCCACGCCGUAAACGAUGAGUGCUAAGUGUUAGGGGGUUUCCGCCCCUUAGUGCUGGAGUUAACGCAU